rfam:Loxodonta africana unplaced genomic scaffold scaffold_2, whole genome shotgun sequence.
UCAUUGGUGGUUCAGUGGUAGAACUCUUACCUUCUAUGCAGGAGGCCCAGGUUCGAUUCCUGGCCAAUGCA